CCCCCCCCCCCCCCCCUCUUCCCUGCCCGGUCUCUCUUUCUCUCCUUUUUCUUGCUUUCUUUCUUUUGCUGCACAUUGAUUAAGCUUUUAGAAUAAAGAAGAUAAUAAUUUUUUAUAUUAACAAAGAAAAGGGAAUACAUGUGGUGCUUUCCUAAAAUGAUUUAAUAUUUAUUAUGUUACUUGUGCUUAUUUAUAAAAGUGGAAAAAAUUGUAAUGGGAAAUGGCCAUUAUGUAAAGGUAAU
rnacentral:misc_RNA from 1 species